GGAGGAUGGGUGGUGGUGGUACGUAUCGGGCUUCAAGUCCGUUGGGUGGGUAGAUGUACAUGUGGUCUAUUCCAAU
rnacentral:tRNA from 1 species